GCAAGUCCGAGCGGACCGAACGUAGGGCUUGCUCUUGUUUGGUCAGCGGCGGACGGGUGAGUAACACGUGGGCGAACCUGCCCGCAAGACCGGGAGUAACUCCGGGAAACCGGAAGCUAAUACCGGAUAACACCGAAGACCGCAUGGUCUUCGGUUGAAGGCGGCCUUUGGGCUGUCACUUGCGGAUGGGCCCGCGGCGCAUUAGCUAGUUGGUGAGGUAACGGCUCACCAAGGCGACGAUGCGUAGCCGGCCUGAGAGGGUGACCGGCCACACUGGGACUGAGACACGGCCCAGACUCCUACGGGAGGCAGCAGUAGGGAGUCUUCCGCAAUGGGCGAAAGCCUGACGGAGCGACGCCGCGUGAGCGAAGAAGGCCUUCGGGUCGUAAAGCUCUGUUGUGAGGGACGAAGGAGCGCCGUUCGAAGAGGGCGGCGCGGUGACGGUACCUCACGAGAAAGCCCCGGCUAACUACGUG
rnacentral:rRNA from 1 species